UUACUACUCCCUCCAUCCGGAGUUACUUGUCACAAAAAUGAAUAAUAAUGGAUGUAUCUAGAUGUAUUUUAUUUCUAGAUACAUCCAUUAUUAUCCACUUUUGUGACAAGUAAUUUCGGACGGAGG
rfam:Hordeum vulgare subsp. vulgare, WGS project CAJW01000000 data, contig: morex_contig_465509